rnacentral:rRNA from 1 species
GACGAACGCUGGCGGCGUGCCUAACACAUGCAAGUCGAGCGAGAGACUUCGGUCUCUAGCGGCGGACGGGUGAGUAACACGUGGGUAACCUGCCUCAUAGAGGGGGAUAGCCUUCCGAAAGGAAGAUUAAUACCGCAUAACAUCAGAUUGUCGCAUGGCAGUUUGAUCAAAGGAGUAAUCCGCUAUGAGAUGGACCCGCGGCGCAUUAGCUAGUUGGUGAGGUAACGGCUCACCAAGGCCACGAUGCGUAGCCGACCUGAGAGGGUGAUCGGCCACAUUGGAACUGAGAUACGGUCCAGACUCCUACGGGAGGCAGCAGUGGGGAAUAUUGCACAAUGGGCGAAGGCCUGAUGCAGCAACGCCGCGUGAGUGAUGAAGGCCUUCGGGUUGUAAAGCUCUGUCUUUGGGGACGAUAAUGACGGUACCCAAGGAGGAAGCCACGGCUAACUACGUGCCAGCAGCCGCCGUAAGAC